GAUGAACGCUGGCGGCGUGCCUAAUACAUGCAAGUCGAGCGAACGGACGAGAAGCUUGCUUCUCUGAUGUUAGCGGCGGACGGGUGAGUAACACGUGGAUAACCUACCUAUAAGACUGGGAUAACUUCGGGAAACCGGAGCUAAUACCGGAUAAUAUUUUGAACCGCAUGGUUCAAAAGUGAAAGACGGUCUUGCUGUCACUUAUAGAUGGAUCCGCGCUGCAUUAGCUAGUUGGUAAGGUAACGGCUUACCAAGGCAACGAUGCAUAGCCGACCUGAGAGGGUGAUCGGCCAAACUGGAACUGAGACACGGUCCAGACUCCUACGGGAGGCAGCAGUAGGGAAUCUUCCGCAAUGGGCGAAAGCCUGACGGAGCAACGCCGCGUGAGUGAUGAAGGUCUUCGGAUCGUAAAACUCUGUUAUUAGGGAAGAAAAUAUGUGUAAGUAACUGUGCACAUCUUGACGGUACCUAAUCAGAAAGCCACUGCUAACUACGUG
rnacentral:rRNA from 1 species